CGCGUAGGCGGGAUAGCAAGUCAGAUGUGAAAUGCCGUGGCUUAACCACGGAGCUGCAUUUGAAACUGUUAUUCUUGAGUAUCGGAGAGGCAGGCGGAAUUCCUAGUGUAGCGGUGAAAUGCGUAGAUAUUAGGAGGAACACCAGUGGCGAAGGCGGCCUGCUGGACGACAACUGACGCUGAGGCGCGAAAGCGUGGGGAGCAAACA
rnacentral:rRNA from 2 species